rnacentral:rRNA from 1 species
UGGGGAAUCUUGCGCAAUGCGCGAAAGCGUGACGCAGCAACGCCGCGUGGGGGAAGAAGGCCUUCGGGUUGUAAACCCCUUUCAGGAGGGACGAAGCCCUGGCGGUUAAUAGCCGUUCAGGGUGACGGUACCUCCAGAAGAAGCCCCGGCUAACUACGUGCCAGCAGCCGCGGUAAUACGUAGGGGGCAAGCGUUGUCCGGAAUUAUUGGGCGUAAAGAGCGUGUAGGCGGUCCGAUAAGUCGGCUGUGAAAGUCAAGGGCUCAACCCUUGAAUGCCGGCCGAUACUGUCGGGCUAGAGUCCGGAAGAGGCGAGUGGAAUUCCCGGUGUAGCGGUGAAAUGCGCAGAUAUCGGGAGGAACACCAAUGGCGAAGGCAGCUCGCUGGGACGGUACUGACGCUGAGACGCGAAAGCGUGGGGAGCAAACAG